UCCAGCUGUGACUAUGAUAUCAUCACUUA
rnacentral:sRNA from 1 species